AGUGAAGCUUCUCUCUGAUGGACUGAAGAGUCAACACUGUAAACUGGAGACAUUGAGAUUGGCCAUGUGUAUUCUCACUGUUGAGUGCUGUGAGAGUUUGUCUUCCGCUCUACAAUCCUUAAACUGUGUGCUGAGAGAGCUGGACCUGAGUAACAAUGACCUGCAGGAUUCAGGAGUGAAGAAGCUCUCUGAUGGACUGAAAAGUCCAAACGGCAAACUAGAAACACUGAGAUUUGUCACGUGUAACCUCACUACUGAUUCUUGUGAGAGUUUGUCUUCAGUUCUACAAUCCUCAAAUUGUGUGCUGAUAGAGCUGGACCUGAGUAUCAAUGACCUGCAGGAUUCAGGAGUGAAGCUUCUAUCUGAUGGA